UUAAAUUGAAGAGUUUGAUCAUGGCUCAGAUUGAACGCUGGCGGCAGGCCUAACACAUGCAAGUCGAACGGUAACAGGAAGCAGCUUGCUGUUUCGC
rnacentral:rRNA from 1 species